rnacentral:sRNA from 1 species
AUCUCUAAUAUUCUUUGGUCUAAAACUGGCAGCAGCUGGUGAUCCAGAGGUCUCAUGGCAGAAUGAAGGAAUUUACCAAAGCCAAGCCCUUGGACACUGGGCCCAUCUGUUUCUUUGAUCAGUUGAAACCUGAAUGGAAAGAUGGGAAAAGAUAACCUGUGAAGAAAGUUAUCCUACCCAAAAUGCACCUCAAGAGCUAAGUGUUGGAUCUUUCAACAUCCUUACUCAAAAUGGGAAAUUCUGAAGUGGAAGACAGUCCCCAGUAUAGCUGUGAAGAGACUACAAGUAGCCAUAAUUCAAAUAAAAAUAGAAGAAGCAAAGCAAAAAAAAAAGAGGGCGUCAACAAACAACUUAUCCGGUGCCACUAUGAGGACCUGGAAGGCGUGGAGGAGAGCAGGGAUCAGCAGUGCUCACAGAGUUUCCGGCUGGAGCUGCUGGAGAAGAUGCCUCAGAUGCCAAUUGUCAGAAAGGCUGACCCCAACAUGAAAAAAUUCCAUUAAGCUCUGGUGGAUGGCUCCUCUCUGACCUAUCGUUCAACAGUUUCGAAAGACAGAUGAGCAAGCAUGAUGUAAUUUUACGGCAUUUUAAUUGAACAUCUUAUUCUGUGACACUACAGACGAGAUGGAAAAGUAAUCAUGGCUUUCACGAAGAAAAAAUGGAUUUCACUUGAUAUUCCAGGGAUUGUUAAAGUUAGGUUCUUUUGACACUGUUUCUGACGAACAGUAGCAGUGAUGUUUAAUCAGGACAGAGGCCUGGUGAUCAGCAGAAAAGGAAACAUCAUAAGGGAAUGGACCUGGCCUUCAAAGGGAAUACUUGAUAAUCCAGAGGAAAUUUGGGAUUAAUUCAAGCACUUCUGAGCUGCCAGUCUGAGUAAAUAGGUUCAUCACUGUGAAGAUUUCUGGACGUUCUGCCACCACCUUGGUCUACAAGUGGCAUUCCCAAAGCCUGAAGCUAUCUUUGGCACCUGUAAAAUGCCAGCCUUUCCCUCCAUGCCUACCCAAGGUGGUGUUUCUAGAACUAUGGGCUUGUAAGCUGCUGAGCUAGGUUUCACCUGCAGAUACAAAGAAGCUGGUUCACCUGCAGAUACAGAGAAACUGGGUGGAUGGGAGGGUAGAAUCACAGGGUUGGCAGUCAGUGCCACUGCCACUGGGAGCUGAGUUAUGACUGUUAGCCAGUGGGCCCCAUUCUCCUUAUAAAGGCCUCUCCACAUAGUUGCUCAGGUUUCCCCACAACAUGGUGUCUGUUUGAAGAAGGAAAACUCCGAGAGGUGAAGAUGGAAACUAUACAUCUCUUAAUGCCUGGCCUCAAAAGUUACACAGUCGGCCAUUUUUCAAAGCCUGUCACAGGCCAGCCCAGAUUCAAGGGGAACAGAAAUAUCCUUCCAUCUCUUGAUGGGUAGAGUGGCAAAGAAUACACAGCCAUUUUCAAUCCACCAGAAGAACAUUUGAAGAAAAAGAUGAAAAUUUCAGAGUCAUUCAGAUUCCUUUCGGUUGCUCAAAUAUAACAUUGUGUCUGCUUCUAAAUUCAUGGGCAGCAAUUGUCCUCUUCUUGUUCAAAGGCACAAUAUCAUCCCAGGAAUUUUUUUGCAAUCCAGGGGGUAGGUACUAAUUUUAUCCCUGAUAAUAGAGGUGGAAACUGAGACACAGGUUAAUUUAUCUAAGGUCAAGGAGCUCGCAUGUGGUGGGAUCAGAAUUCAAAUCCAGAUUUUCUCACUAUGAACAGAGACUGCUUUUAAUCAAAAUUCUGCAAGAGUUUCUACAAGGUGAAGUCUCAGCCCCCACUUCCUCGGACAUGCUCAUAAGAAGUGUAAAGUGAUCCCAGAUGAAUGCUUUCAGCUUGCUGAUGAGUUCCAGCUGGGGAGAAGAAAUAAUUCAAACGUACAUUUAGCAAGAAAGCACAGAGCCUACCUCAAUAUGCAAAGGAAUCCAGCUUGUUUCAAGUGUCAAGUGACAGUUUAGACAAGAGAAAAGGACUCGGUACAAAUGAGAUGGGACAGAGGUUGCAUCCCGUGUGUGUCUUCUGAGAUAUAUACAAAAUAGAGAAAGAAAGACUAACUCAUCCACU